rnacentral:rRNA from 1 species
AUUGAACGCUGGCGGCAUGCCUUACACAUGCAAGUCGAACGGCAGCACGGGUGCUUGCCCCUGGUGGCGAGUGGCGAACGGGUGAGUAAUACAUCGGAACAUGUCCUGUAGUGGGGGAUAGCCCGGCGAAAGCCGGAUUAAUCCGCAUACGAUCUACGGAUGAAAGCGGGGGACCUUCGGGCCUCGCGCUAUAGGGUUGGCCGAUGGCUGAUUAGCUAGUUGGUGGGGUAAAGGCCUACCAAGGCGACGAUCAGUAGCUGGUCUGAGAGGACGACCAGCCACACUGGGACUGAGACACGGCCCAGACUCCUACGGGAGGCAGCAGUGGGGAAUUUUGGACAAUGGGCGAAAGCCUGAUCCAGCAAUGCCGCGUGUGUGAAGAAGGCCUUCGGGUUGUAAAGCACUUUUGUCCGGAAAGAAAUCCUUGGCCCUAAUACGGUCGGGGGAUGACGGUACCGGAAGAAUAAGCACCGGCUAACUACGUG